rnacentral:lncRNA from 1 species
CUUUCGCGUCUGCGGUGCCCGGAGUGUGGUACUUCUCCUAGUUGCAGUCAGGCUUCAUACGCUAUUGUCCUGCCCGUUAGAGCAGCCAGCGGGUACAGAAUGGAUUUUGGAAGAGGGAGUCACCACUGGACCUCCAAGGAAGCCACGUGCAGACAUCUACAACCUUCGAUCUCCUGACGAGUUUAUUGUUGGCCAAAACCAGGCUUUGAUUGAACCAGGAUGAAUGCGGGUGUUGGAAGUAGAAUAUAUAUAUACAUAUAAAAUUGAAACUGGCGAUGGAAUAUGAGAGGAGCCCUCUGGAAAGAAAAGGACAGACCCUGUGCUUUCAUGAAAGUGAAGAUCUGGCUGAACCAGUUCCACAAGGUUACUGUAUACAUAGCCUGAGUUUAAAAGGCUGUGCCCACUUCAAGAAUGUCAUUGUUAGACUUUGAAAUUUCUAACUGCCUACCUGCAUAAAGAAAAUAAAAUCUUUUAAAUCAAAA